rnacentral:rRNA from 1 species
GACGGGGGAUGCAAGUGUUAUCCGGAAUAAUUGGGCGUAAAGCGUCUGUAGGUGGUUUACCAAGUCUGUUGUUAAAAAUCAGGGCUUAACCCUGAUCCGGCAACAGAAACUAGUAGGCUGGAGUACGGUAGGGGCAGAGGGAAUUCUCGGUGUAGUGGUGAAAUGCGUAGAGAUCGGGAGGAACACCCGCGGCGAAGGCGGCGACCUGGACCGACCCUGACGCUGAGGCGCGAAGGCCGGGGGAGCGAACGGG